rnacentral:piRNA from 1 species
UGGGAUUAAAGGCGUGUGCCACCACGCCCGGCUUGA